CAAAAACACAGUGACAACACUUUGGUCUGCAGCUUCCAUUUUCCAGUGGAAAGAGAAAUGGCCCUGUAUUUCCAAGAAAAGUCCAAUAGGAGUGCAUCCCUCAGACAAUCCGGUGCAUGAACAUCCUGUGCCAGUGUGGUCCGAGACUACAGCAGAUCAAGCCUGUGAACGGACAGACAAGAGGCGUGACAUGCGGAACAUCAGGCUCACCCCACGAAAAGCAGUGCAUGAUCAACGCCACCCUCAGCAAGGCAAUCUGCUGGCAGUGAUGUACUCUCUCUCUCACUCUGGGGGUAAGACUUAUAAAUUCCCACUGUGCCCAUGAUAAAAUGCAAUGUGAAUGGUGUUGUACAACUGAAUGAAACUGUUAGGAGAUGCACUCAAAAUUGAACUUACAUUGACUACAUUACUUUAGUUGGCUGCUUUGAGCAAAACUUGAAUGUAAUAUAACCUAUUGUUUGUGUAUGAUCUGUAUUCAUUGUUCACUUGUUUUCAACCAUGUUAGGUCCAAGCACUGGGGCCUUCAGCAAGUAAGACA